ACAGUAGUCGCCCGGGUUGCCGCAAGGCCUCCCGGGUAACCUACCACCCUUUGUUUAUUACACUUUGUUGCUUUGGCAAGCCUGCCCUCGGGCUGCUGGCUCCGGCCGGCGAGCGCUUGCCAGAGGACCUAAACUCUGUUUGUCUAUACUGUCUGAGUACUAUAUAAUAGUUAAAACUUUCAACAACGGAUCUCUUGGUUCUGGCAUCGAUGAAGAACGCAGCGAAAUGCGAUAAGUAAUGUGAAUUGCAGAAUUCAGUGAAUCAUCGAAUCUUUGAACGCACAUUGCGCCCCCUGGUAUUCCGGGGGGCAUGCCUGUCCGAGCGUCAUUACAACCCUCAAGCUCAGCUUGGUGUUGGGCCCCGCCGCCCCGGCGGGCCCUAAAGUCAGUGGCGGUGCCGUCCGGCUCCGAGCGUAGUAAUUCUUCUCGCUGUUGGGCCCCGGUGGCCGCUGGCCAGCAACCCCCAAUUUUCUAUGGUUGACCUCGGAUCAGGUAGGGAUACCCGCUGAACUUAA
rnacentral:rRNA from 1 species